rnacentral:rRNA from 1 species
CGAGUGGCGGACGGGUGAGUAAUGUCUGGGGAUCUGCCCGAUGGAGGGGGAUAACCACUGGAAACGGUGGCUAAUACCGCAUAACGUCGCAAGACCAAAGUGGGGGACCUUCGGGCCUCACACCAUCGGAUGAACCCAGAUGGGAUUAGCUAGUAGGUGGGGUAACGGCUCACCUAGGCGACGAUCCCUAGCUGGUCUGAGAGGAUGACCAGCCACACUGGAACUGAGACACGGUCCAGACUCCUACGGGAGGCAGCAGUGGGGAAUAUUGCACAAUGGGCGCAAGCCUGAUGCAGCCAUGCCGCGUGUAUGAAGAAGGCCUUCGGGUUGUAAAGUACUUUCAGCGGGGAGGAAGGGGAUGAGGUUAAUAACCUCGUUCAUUGACGUUACCCGCAGAAGAAGCACCGGCUAACUCCGUGCCAGCAGCCGCGGUAAUACGGAGGGUGCAAGCGUUAAUCGGAAUUACUGGGCGUAAAGCGCACGCAGGCGGUCUGUUAAGUCAGAUGUGAAAUCCCCGGGCUUAACCUGGGAACUGCAUUUGAAACUGGCAGGCUUGAGUCUUGUAGAGGGGGGUAGAAUUCCAGGUGUAGCGGUGAAAUGCGUAGAGAUCUGGAGGAAUACCGGUGGCGAAGGCGGCCCCCUGGACAAAGACUGACGCUCAGGUGCGAAAGCGUGGGGAGCAAACAGGAUUAGAUACCCUGGUAGUCCACGCCGUAAACGAUGUCGACUUGGAGGCUGUGAGCAUGACUCGUGGCUUCCGGAGCUAACGCGUUAAGUCGACCGCCUGGGGAGUACGGCCGCAAGGUUAAAACUCAAAUGAAUUGAGGGGCCCGCACAAGCGGUGGAGCAUGUGGUUUAAUUUCGAUGCAACGCGAAGAACCCUUACCUGCUCUUGACUCCACGGAAUUCGGCAGAGAUGCCUUAGUGCCUUCGGGAACCCGUGAGACAGUGCUGCAUGGCUGUCGUCAGCUCGUGUUGGAAAUGUGGGUUAAGUCCCCAACCCACCUAUUGUUGCCAGCAUUCGGUCGGGUCAGGAACUGCGGAAACCGGAGGGGAUGACGU